rnacentral:rRNA from 1 species
ACAGGUUUCCGUAGUGAACCUGCGG